GACGAACGCUGGCGGCGUGCUUAACACAUGCAAGUCGAACGGAAAGGCCCUGCUUUUGUGGGGUGCUCGAGUGGCGAACGGGUGAGUAACACGUGAGUAACCUGCCCUUGACUUUGGGAUAACUUCAGGAAACUGGGGCUAAUACCGGAUAGGAGCUCCUGCUGCAUGGUGGGGGUUGGAAAGUUUCGGCGGUUGGGGAUGGACUCGCGGCUUAUCAGCUUGUUGGUGGGGUAGUGGCUUACCAAGGCUUUGACGGGUAGCCGGCCUGAGAGGGUGACCGGCGUAAGUGGUACUGUGAGACGGCCCAGACUCCUACGGGCGGCAGCAGUGGGGCAUAUUGCACAAUGGGCGGCAGCCUGACGCAGUCACGCCGCGUGCGGGAUGACGGCCUUCGGGUUGUAAACAGCUUUCGCCUGUGCCGAAGCGUGAGUGACGGUAAUGGGUAAAGAAGCACCGGCUAACUACGUG
rnacentral:rRNA from 1 species